rnacentral:sRNA from 1 species
CGAAAAACCAGCGUCAGGUCGCGCUGGCGAGGACUGCAAAAAAGGCCGUCAAAUACCGUGCAGGGGGGUCGGUAAGCGGUGACGCGUUGCGUCGUAAGGACCGGGGGGCGGUGGUAAAAACGUUCACGCCCUGCAACCAAUGUGGACGGAUUCUAGCAGGGUUUAAUAGAUCGUCAACACUAUAGAACCGCAAAUGUAUAACUAAUUGUAA